AAGACUAUAGACCUGCGGAGUACCUGCGGAGGGAUCAUUAUCGUAUUGUAACAAUUGGGGGGGCCACCGUGGGCUGUCGCUGACCCUUUGAAAGGGGGGUCGUGCACGCCCCCAUAGUGUCAUCCUCAUACAAUCCAACUCUCCUCUGUGCAUCACCGCGUGGGUUCCUUUCUGGGUCGAGUCAGACUGGCUCAGAAAAAAGGGGCUUGCGUUUUCCAUACAAAUACCCUUAUAAAUCCA
rnacentral:misc_RNA from 1 species